AAAGAAAAGAAAAUAUCAUCUUUUCUUCAUCUUCUCUCCACUGAAAAAAUGGCAGCAAAGAAAGGGUUUAGAAGCUGGAAACUUUCAGCAAAGAAACUCCCUUUAUAAUGAUGAAAAUUGAGAUUUGGACCUAGAACGGAAAGAAAUCGAUUAAGGGAUAAUUACGUCUUUUUUUUUACCUUUGUGGUAUCGAGAGUUUCUAGGUUAGCUCGGGUUGGAGGCCGUCAGAGAUAUUAUCACACUGUCAAGCUAACGCUAUUGGUGUAGUGAUUUCAAGUACUUUGAGCCUAUGGCAUGUAUAGGAGUUUAAAUAUUAGAGUAUGUGAUAUGGCUUUAACCAUAUGUGUUGGCCUAUUUUGAUUAUGGGAUUGUAAAUCUAAUCUAAUUAUGCAUGCAUGUGCUAUGGUAUUAUGUGAUGAGUUUAUAAUGAUUAUAGUAUGAAUGUGGUAAA